AUUGAACGCUGGCGGCAUGCUUUACACAUGCAAGUCGAGCGGCAGCGCGGGGGCAACCCUGGCGGCGAGCGGCGAACGGGUGAGUAAUGCAUCGGAACGUACCCUGGAGUGGGGGAUAACGCCGCGAAAGCGGCGCUAAUACCGCAUAUGCUCUGAGGAGGAAAGUGGGGGACCGCAAGGCCUCACGCUCUGGGAGCGGCCGAUGUCCGAUUAGCUAGUUGGUGGGGUAAAGGCUUACCAAGGCGACGAUCGGUAGCUGGUCUGAGAGGAUGAUCAGCCACACUGGGACUGAGACACGGCCCAGACUCCUACGGGAGGCAGCAGUGGGGAAUUUUGGACGAUGGGGGCGACCCUGAUCCAGCCAUGCCGCGUGAGUGAAGAAGGCCUUCGGGUUGUAAAGCUCUUUUGGUCGGGAAGAAAGCGCCUUGCCUAAUACACGAGGUGGUUGACGGUACCGGCAGAAUAAGCACCGGCUAACUACGUGCCAGCCGCCGCGGUAAUAC
rnacentral:rRNA from 1 species